rnacentral:lncRNA from 1 species
CAUUGCGCUCCAAGUUAUAACAUUCUUUUCUCUCAAACCAUCAAACACUUCUCUAGCAACAUCAACAGAUCCACAUUUAGCAUACAUGUCAACCAUCGCCGUCCCCAAAAUAACAUCCAACGAAAACGUAUUCUUCACUAUAUAUUCAUGUACAACCUUAGCCUUAUGCAUUGCCCCUAUCUUUGCACAAGCAUUUACGACAUUUACGAGAGCAACUUUAUCCGGAACAACUACUCCUUCCUCUCUCAUUUGAUCAAACAAAUCUAAAGCCUCAUUCGGAUCCCCACACUCCGUAUACGCUCCAAUCAUGACUGUCCAAGUCACAAGGUCUCUCAUAGGGAUAACAUCCAACGAAAAUCUAUUCCUGGCAAUAUAUUCAUGUACAACCUUAGCCUUAUGCAUUGCGCCUAUCUUUGCACAAGCAUUUACUACAUUUACCAAAGCAACUUUAUCCGGAACAACU